rnacentral:rRNA from 1 species
GACGAACGCUGGCGGCGCGCUUAACACAUGCAAGUCGAACGGUGAAGCAGGAGCUUGCUCCUGUGGAUCAGUGGCGAACGGGUGAGUAACACGUGAGCAAUCUGCCCCGAACUCUGGGAUAAGCGCUGGAAACGGCGUCUAAUACCGGAUACGACGCGCGACGGCAUCGUCUGCGCGUGGAAAGAACUUCGGUUCGGGAUGAGCUCGCGGCCUAUCAGCUUGUUGGUGAGGUAAUGGCUCACCAAGGCGACGACGGGUAGCCGGCCUGAGAGGGUGACCGGCCACACUGGGACUGAGACACGGCCCAGACUCCUACGGGAGGCAGCAGUGGGGAAUAUUGCACAAUGGGCGCAAGCCUGAUGCAGCAACGCCGCGUGAGGGACGACGGCCUUCGGGUUGUAAACCUCUUUUAGUAGGGAAGAAGCGAAAGUGACGGUACCUGCAGAAAAAGCACCGGCUAACUACGUGCCAGCAGCCGCAGUAAGAC